UUUUUGUACCCUUAAAUCCUGUGGCUUAUUUGUAUUGCUAUUAUGCAUAGGAACCUUAGCUGUGAACAAGACUCCAUUGUGCAUCCGGUUUAUAAAUACUGGAGGAAAAGAAAGUCUUCCCCCAUCGGGAGUCUAGGCAUACGAUGAGAGACGUUCAGUACGCUUCUGUGGAGAGCGCAAGCAAACAAAAGGAAAAAACGGAUCCCUCGGAGAACUGGUAGUCUUAGAAUGCCCAUCAUUCCCUUGUGCACCUUGUACAAAGUCUUUUGUAGGGCAUUGCAAUGAAAGGCUCAUAUUAAAGACAAGGAGGUGCUUUUGCAGAAGUUUAUGGAAGCUCCUGCUAAGGGCCCAGGUCAGGUGCAGAUAAAAUAUGAAGAUCCUUAUUUGAAGACGUAAUAUGUAAGGAGUAAAGGCUGAUCGAAGAUAGGAUCUAUUCUCAGGGUAGUGAAUGAGAAAUGAGAGGUCAGGUGGCAAAAACCUCAGAAAACAGUGAAGGAGAUUUCCCAUGAAGUUAUGUGAUGUUAUAAGAGACUGGGAACUCUUGGGUCAUUGCGGGGGUUGUCCGUUUACUGCUUUGCCAAUAUUCAGUGCAGUUUGCAGUACUGCCAUUUCUCUUUAAUUUAGACUACUUGUUUGUCUGUUCAUUUACCUUAGGCUUUAUGAAUUAGCAUGCAAAUUGUAGCACAUACUGAUAUUUAACUUUCUGUUGUGUAUUUAGCUUAUCUAUUUAUUUCCCAGAACGCUCAGCUCUUUCUACGUUGUUAAGGUCAGUGGUCGUUAGUUACAUCUAUCCAUCUCGUCUUAACUCUGGACAGGCCGACAUGAAGCUAUUUGUUUAACCAUUUCGGUAUCCCCGUCACCCUCUUGCCGUUGAUUGAGUCUGCUGAAGAGACGUACAUCUAUGUGGCCACACUUGAUUUGUUGCAGGUCAUUUUUUUUCCCCCGUACAAUUCUUCCUUGUCAUCGGUGAACUGCUUCAUCUCGGCGCUGCGCUCUCCCUUCAGCUCAUGUGUUGACCUCCGCCGUUGCCAGACGCACCAGAUGGAAGCAAAGUUGUGUGCCCAUUGUGCCACCGAUUGCAUCGCAGCCCAGGACACUGUGUGCCAGCUGGCUCCUAAGCCUACCCAUGUGGUUUAACCGUGCUGACUUUGGAUGUAAAUCCACUCAGAAACCCUUCUUGUUGACAGGUACGUCUGAAAAAAACCUGGAGACAUGGAGUGAAAUUUUACUCGGCAGAUGGCAAUAUCACUUUUAGUACUGAGCUCAGGAGAGCUAUUCCAUCAUAUACUCGCUUUUAAAUAUAUUACAUAAAUACACUGGGACUGUGACCUUUUUGUUUCCUUAACAGAGCUGUAUUGGAAGUUGGCUAUAUAUCCUUCUCUCUAGAUGGUAAGAUAAUACAAUUCCUAUGUAUCUUCAGUCAUUCAUGCACUAUAUUGCAUAUGUAAUUAAAGCAUUAAUAAAAAUAACAGCAGGAAGAGUUCA
rnacentral:lncRNA from 1 species